CGACUCGAGAGUCCACCACUUCCGCAGAUAUUCGCUUCCCCCUUUCCGGACGAGUCACUUGGCUGAUUGAGGGCCCCCUGCAGCGACAGUGGUAUGCCGAUCCGAUUCGAUCUUAAACCGAUUCGUGAAGGAGGAAAAAAUGAAAUGAAUGAAAAAGAUUGAAAUAAAAAAAAAAAUGUUAAAACAAAAGGACACAGAAGGAACAGUUGAGGCAUAUCGAGGAGGGGGUACCCCGAUAAAAGUGAAUGGUGGCCACUUGGCGAAAAAGAUGAAUAUCUCGACCUAACGUACGUCUUCUUGUGGAGCUACCCGAUAUUCCUACUGCAUUUCAACGUUCAGGGCUUUAUCCAAGGCGGUGAUUUAUGGUGUUUUUUGCUGUAGGAGGGAAUUUCAGAUGAAAUUCUCGGCGACAACUAACGACGCAACAGCUUGGGAUGAGAAAGAUCGAUGUACGUCCCCGAUUUCUUCGACCCGAGGACUCGACCCUUCACACCAAUUCCGCUCUUUCGCAAUAACAGAAGUUGAGUAUUUUCGGUUGGUUUCGGCUGUUGGAAGAUUUUUUUUUUCUUUGCCUUCUGACCGGUGGUGAAACAAUUGAAUUAUCGCGACGGGGGCGAGGGGUCAAGUCAGAGAAUAUGAAAAAUGAGGAAGUUCUUAGGAUUUCUGGAUGCACAUCGCGAGAACGGAUUGUUGUUGUUGUUAAUAAAUUAAUUUCGGGGGGGCUUUACGGGUUUUAGCAUUUGUGAGGUGAAUUUAUGGGAUGUAUGGUUGCUUGAUGAAAAUACUAGAUUUACAAAGAACUCAUUUUUUAUCUCGGCAAAUAAUUGUUUCAAUUUUAAACAAUGUUAUAUGCAGAAAUUGGAGAGUCUAGCGCAUCAAAUUAAAUUAAAUUACGAUUUUUUGAGUAAUUGUGAGGCAUGAAUAUUUUCAAAACUUUGUGGUACAUUAAAUUUGAAUUAGACUCACUAUUUAAAACAAAACAUCGACAUUUUUUUUCCUAACUACGUGCUUACAUCGACACCAAUUAAAAAGUUCGUACUUGAAAAAUUUCUUUUUUAAAUAAUACAUAAGAUAUAUACCGUUCAUAUAGUCUUCACAAAUUUCUUAAUUACAAGAAAAUGGCUCAUAUUAUGGAUCAUUUCUACUUACUUUUUUAUGAGCGCAAUUUGAGUAAUUACAAUAUAUUACGAAAAUGAAAGAUAAUGCAACACUUAAAUCAUUUGUGAUGUGAAUUUAAACAGUUUAUUUUCAGAUCGGAGUAAUUAUGGAAUUAUGGGUGGGUUGAAAUUUCCCGGUUUAUGGUUGGGACAGGAUAAAAUGGGGAAAAUUUCAGGUUAAGUCCGGAGAAAUGUCUAUAGGUCAGUUUAACGAUGGGUAACUCCCGGUCCCAGCACAGGUACCAGUUCACUUAUUCCCAUCGACUGGUAAACUUCACCUGCUACCGGUGGCCCUGUGGACAUUCUCCAUCACUUCUGUCACCAUAUGCCCGCCACAGUGUAAUCCUGAAGUUUCCCAAGGCCCCCAAGUGCUUGUAAUUUUUCUGUUACCGGGGUUUACCCCCCUCCCCACCACUUCUUCACCUUUUGAAUAAGCACCGGUACCCCCUAGGGCCUCCACCUUGGGGAACCCCCUUGACAACAUGUGCACUCGUAUAUUUCGCCCCUGCGAUUGCCAACGAAAAAUUGCCAAGUGUCUUCCAUGUGGGGACAAGAUGCUCGUGGACCGAGUGUGGUGGGAAUUUUUAUUCACCAGGACAUGUGGUUUAAAUUUUUCAGUUAUGCGCAAUCACGUUUAGUAUUUAUCAGCCAUUUCGUCUGUCAGUUUUUUUUUUUAACGUUCCGGCAUCUAUUUUUCAACGUCAAAUUUAUUCUUAAAGUGAGACAGCCUGUGCAGAUAUAUAAAAAUAUAUUAAAUACAU